rnacentral:rRNA from 1 species
AAAAAUUUUUUUUCGUGUUUGUAUACACCGGUUCUCGUCCGAUCACCGAAGUUAAGCAACGUCGGGCGCGGUCAGUACUUGGAUGGGUGACCGCCUGGGAACACCGCGUGACGUUGGCU